rnacentral:rRNA from 1 species
GACGAACGCUGGCGGCGUGCUUAACACAUGCAAGUCGAACGGUGAAGGGGCCUGCUUUUGUGGGCCCUGGAUGAGUGGCGAACGGGUGAGUAACACGUGAGUAACCUGCCCCCUUCUUCUGGAUAACCGCAUGAAAGUGUGGCUAAUACGGGAUAUUCUGGGUCUGUCGCAUGAUGGGUCUGGGUAAGAUUGCGCCUUUGGGUGUUCUUGGUGGGGGAUGGGCUCGCGGCCUACCAGCUUGUCGGUGGGGCGAUGGCCUACCAAGGCGGUUACGGGUAGCCGGCCUGAGCGCGAGGACGGCGACACUGAGACUAGGACACGGACCAGACGCAUCCGCACGGUAGCAGUGGUGAAUAUUACGAAAUGCGGCAGAACGUGAUGCACCGGCGCCGCGUGAGGGAUGGGGGCCUUCGGGGUGUACACCUCUUUCGCAAGUGAAGCAGGCCUGAUAAUCGUCAGUGGUUUGACGGUAGCUGGAUAAGAAGCGCCGGCUAACUACGUG